AAAGGGUGCGUAGGCGGGUAGGUAAGUCAGUGGUGAAAUCUCCGAGCUCAACUCGGAAACUGCCAUUGAUACUAUUUAUCUUGAAUAUUGUUGAGGUAGGCGGAAUAUGUCAUGUAGCGGUGAAAUGCUUAGAUAUGACAUAGAACACCGAUUGCGAAGGCAGCUUGCUAAACAAUUAUUGACGCUGAGGCACGAAAGCGUGGGGAUCAAACAGGAUUAGAUACCCUAGU
rnacentral:rRNA from 1 species